rnacentral:rRNA from 1 species
GAUGAACGCCGGCGGCGUGCCUAAUACAUGCAAGUCGAGCGAAUGGAUUAAGAGCUUGCUCUUAUGAAGUUAGCGGCGGACGGGUGAGUAACACGUGGGUAACCUGCCCAUAAGACUGGGAUAACUCCGGGAAACCGGGGCUAAUACCGGAUAACAUUUUGAACCGCAUGGUUCGAAAUUGAAAGGCGGCUGCGGCUGUCACUUAUGGAUGGACCCGCGGCGCAUUAGCGAGUUGGGGAGGUAACGGCUCACAAAGGCAACGAUGCGUAGCCGACCUGAGAGGGUGAUCGGCCACACUGGGACUGAGACACGGCCCAGACUCCUACGGGAGGCAGCAGUAGGGAAUCUUCCGCAAUGGACGAAAGUCUGACGGAGCAACGCCGCGUGAGUGAUGAAGGCUUUCGGGUCGUAAAACUCUGUUGUUAGGGAAGAACAAGUGCUAGUUGAAUAAGCUGGCACCUUGACGGUACCUAACCAGAAAGCCACGGCUAACUACGUGCCAGCAGCCGCAGUAA